GACAGAGGGUGCAAACGUUGUUCGGAAUUACUGGGCGUAAAGCGCGUGUAGGCGGCCCUGCAAGUCGGGUGUGAAAUCCCACGGCUCAACCGUGGAAGUGCACUCGAAACUGCAGGGCUAGAGUCCUGGAGAGGAAGGUGGAAUGCUUGGUGUAGAGGUGAAAUUCGUAGAUAUCAAGCGGAACACCGGUGGCGAAGGCGGUCUGCUGGGCAGUUGCUGACACUGAGGCGCGACAGCGUGGGGAGCAAACAGG
rnacentral:rRNA from 1 species